GGUUUUGUACUUUAUAAAAUAUAGAAGUUUUAGUUUGCAACUAAAAAGAAGACCUUGUCUCAAAACCA
rnacentral:tRNA from 1 species